UUUAUAUGAUGUCAAUUUUAUAGGAAAUUGAGUGUUGGAUAGUUGUUUUGUGCUUAUAUUGCUCUAUCUUGUGAAAUAUGAUAUUUGCUCGAACUUUGUUGGAAUUUAUAGGAAUAUUUAGUUUGAAUUUGAAAAAACGGUCUGAAAUAGAAGUUGUAGUUUGUCUCGAUACAAGUUUGUGAGCGCAAACGGGUUGCAAAUCUGAGUUCGGACAAGGGAGAUAUGACUGAAACAAGAAAUUCGCACGCAGUUGUGGCGAUCCGCCGGCUGAAGAAGGAAAUUUGCACGGAGGGUGGCGACCCUGCCGGCGACCAUCGGCAAGACCGCUGAAAACUCUGCUACGGCGGCGACCACGGUGGCGGUUGCCGCCGGGAAGGUCGCCAGAAAGUGCAGUUUUUUAGCCUAGACCGCGGCGGUCGCCGCUGCGGGUCCGGGAAACCUUAUUUUUAGGCGUUUUUUAGUAUUUUUUCGAGCUCUAACUAUAUUUUUUCCCCUGUGCCUAUAUAUAGGUAUUUUUCCUGACCUAUGAGACACUUCUUUUGACCUCUCUUCACCUCUUUUUUCCAUCUUUUUCUUAUUUUUUCAGUUUUACAUUUAGAAUUUCAUAGAUUAGAUUUAUUUUCCUGCAAGAUUCAAGCUGUCAUUCAACAUUCAUUCUGGG
rnacentral:lncRNA from 1 species